AGAGACUUAGGAUAAUAUAGACCAAAAGCCUUCAAAGCUUUAAGUAGAAGUUAAAAUCUUCUAGUCCCUG
rnacentral:tRNA from 1 species